AUACGAAGGGUGCAAGCGUUACUCGGAAUUACUGGGCGUAAAGCGUGCGUAGGUGGUUGUUUAAGUCUGUCGUGAAAGCCCUGGGCUCAACCUGGGAAUGGCGAUGGAAACUGGGCGACUAGAGUGUGGCAGAGGGUAGUGGAAUUCCUGGUGUAGCAGUGAAAUGCGUAGAGAUCAGGAGGAACAUCCGUGGCGAAGGCGACUGCCUGGGCCAACACUGACACUGAGGCACGAAAGCGUGGGGAGCAAACAGGAUUAGAUACCCUGGUAGUCCACGCCCUAAACGAUGCGAACUGGAUGUUGGGCGCAAUUUGGCACGCAGUAUCGAAGCUAACGCGUUAAGUUCGCCGCCUGGGGAGUACGGUCGCAAGACUGAAACUCACAUGAAUUGGCGGGG
rnacentral:rRNA from 1 species